UUAUAAACCUGAUAUAGCGAAAAGCCCGCAUCCCGAUUUAAGCACCGUCUAUGUUGUCUUUUAUUGAGUGCUUGCUUGUUUCACAGGUUUCAUCGGGGAGGACUUGUAGCGGUAGCAGGACUGCAA
rnacentral:sRNA from 1 species